rnacentral:rRNA from 1 species
UACGGGGGGAGCAAGCGUUGUUCGGAUUUACUGGGCGUAAAGGGCGCGUAGGCGGCCACCGCAAGUCACUUGUGAAAUCUCCGGGCUUAACCCGGAAAGGUCAACUGAUACUGCGGGCCUUGAGCCAGCUAGGGGCAACCGGAACAAACGGUGGAGCGGUGAAAUGCGUAGAUAUCAUUUGGAACGCCAAUGGUGAAAACAGGUAGCUGGGAGUGUGCUGACACUGAGACACGAAAGCCAGGGGAGCGAACGGG